GAUGAACGCUGGCGGCGUGCCUAAUACAUGCAAGUCGAGCGAACAGACGAGGAGCUUGCUCCUCUGAUGUUAGCGGUGGACGGGUGAGUAACACGUGGAUAACCUACCUAUAAGACUGGGAUAACUUCGGGAAACCGGAGCUAAUACCGGAUAACAUGUUGAACCGCAUGGUUCAACAGUGAAAGACGGUCUUGCUGUCACUUAUAGAUGGAUCCGCGCCGCAUUAGCUAGUUGGUAAGGUAACGGCUUACCAAGGCAACGAUGCGUAGCCGACCUGAGAGGGUGAUCGGCCACACUGGAACUGAGACACGGUCCAGACUCCUACGGGAGGCAGCAGUAGGGAAUCUUCCGCAAUGGGCGAAAGCCUGACGGAGCAACGCCGCGUGAGUGAAGAAGGUCUUCGGAUCGUAAAACUCUGUUAUUAGGGAAGAACAAAUGUGUAAGUAACUAUGCACGUCUUGACGGUACCUAAUCAGAAAGCCACGGCUAACUACGUG
rnacentral:rRNA from 1 species